UGAUAGUCAGCAGCGAGCGCCUCCGCUUC
rnacentral:sRNA from 1 species